ensembl:lncRNA
CGCAAGCCCGCUCCGAGAAUUCCACCCUGCGCAGCUUACGCUUCGCGUCCCCGCGACAUGAAAGGAACCAAACGAUUGGCGGCGAGACCUAGAUAAAAGCAGUAGCAGCUGUCUGAAAAGGAGUCAUCAAAAGUGCCACUGAGGUGGAAGUGAGCUUUCCAUGUCUCAUAUUCAGAAGAAGAAAGAAAUGCUUUGAUAUUCCACAAUUUCAGUUAAGAUAACCCUGAAACAGACACGGCACGUGAGAAUAAAAGGUUCACCAUCUAUUAGCCCAGUGGAAAUCAGGGGGUGACCUUUUGUCAGGUCAGAGCUUUUGGCUGCGGAGGUUUGGGAACUUUCACAGGUACAUUCUAACCUGUGACCUUACUCUGUGUUCCAGCCACUUGUUCCCUGCUGCUGUCUUAAUCAAAACCAGUAGUGGAUGGUAACUUCCUAGAAGAAGUAGGGGAUUGGUCCUACAUAAUUUAUGCAACAAAUGCAAUGCAUUUAAAGGGG